rnacentral:rRNA from 1 species
AGUGAACGCUGGCGGCGUGCCUAAUACAUGCAAGUCGUACGGAGUGUCGCACGGUUGAGUACUGUAUAGUUAAUCUGCCCUACACUAUAGGACAACAGUUGGAAACGACUGCUAAUAUUCUCUAGUGUAGGAUGAUGCUAUAUUGUAUAAGCUAGUUGGUUAGGUAAUGGCUCACCAAGGCUAUGAAGCAAAACUGGUCUGAGAGGAUGAUCAGUGAAACUGGAAAUAAGACAAAGUUAAGACUCCUACGGGAGGCAACAGUAGGGGAUAUGGCUCAAAGGGGGAAACCCUGAAGAAGCAACGAAAGGUGGAGGAUGACACUUAACGAGACGUAAACUCCGUUUGUAAGGGAAGCGGUACCGAACGAAUAAGCGCCAGCUAACUCCGUGCCAGCAGCCGCGGUAAUUC